rnacentral:rRNA from 1 species
UUCAAUACUGUAUGGGCAACCGUACGGUGUGCACUUUUCCCUUAGUAAGACGUUGUGAUCCAUUAGGAAUCGCGAGUGCUUUUGAUGUUAGGCCGACAUCAAAGUUCACAGUGACAAACAACACAAUCUUCUGGUUGGGUAUAUUGUCUUGUGAGUGUGUCGUGUUCUGAUGCAACUGCCUGAUGGAUAUUAGAGGCUGCACCACUGAAGCUUGCUUCACCCGCUCUUGUAUGGGAAUUGGGGUGUGUGCCCGAUCAACAACGGUUUCAUUUGGGAUACCUUUGGGACCCGUCUUGAAACACGGACCAAGGAGUCUAUCUAGUAUGCGAGUAAAUGGGCUUUAUGGAAACCUAUUUGCGUAAAAAACUUGACUGUAAUAUAAUGGGAUUACGUGUAAAUUUCGUGUAGWUUGCACCUCCAUCCCGGGGUAUUUACAUCACAUAAAUGGGCAACCAUUUAUAGUAAAUAUACCAUGAGCAUACUGGACAUGACCCGAAAGAUGGUGAACUAUGCCUGAUCAGGUUGAAGUCAGGGGAAACCCUGAUGGAGGACCGAAGCAAUUCUGACGUGCAAAUCG